CACAUGCAAGUCGAACGAAGUUUUUCUUUCGGGAGGAACUUAGUGGCGGACGGGUGAGUAACGCGUGGGUAACCUGCCCUGUACAGGGGGACAACAGCUGGAAACGGCUGCUAAUACCGCAUAAGCCCUUAGCACUGCAUGGUGCAUAGGGAAAAGGAGCAAUCCGGUACAGGAUGGACCCGCGUCUGAUUAGCCAGUUGGCAGGGUAACGGCCUACCAAAGCGACGAUCAGUAGCCGAUCUGAGAGGAUGUACGGCCACAUUGGGACUGAGACACGGCCCAGACUCCUACGGGAGGCAGCAGUGGGGAAUAUUGCACAAUGGAGGAAACUCUGAUGCAGCGACGCCGCGUGAGUGAAGAAGUAUUUCGGUAUGUAAAGCUCUAUCAGCAGGGAAGAAAAUGACGGUACCUGACUAAGAAGCACCGGCUAAAUACGUGCCAGCAGCCGCGGUAAUACGUAUGGUGCAAGCGUUAUCCGGAUUUACUGGGUGUAAAGGGAGCGUAGGUGGCAAGGCAAGCCAGAAGUGAAAACCCGGGGCUCAACCGCGGGAUUGCUUUUGGAACUGUCAUGCUAGAGUGCAGGAGGGGUGAGCGGAAUUCCUAGUGUAGCGGUGAAAUGCGUAGAUAUUAGGAGGAACACCGGAGGCGAAGGCGGCUCACUGGACUGUAACUGACACUGAGGCUCGAAAGCGUGGGGAGCAAACAGG
rnacentral:rRNA from 1 species